UACGUAGGCAGCAAGCGUUGUUCGGAAUUACUGGGCGUAAAGAGUGUGUAGGCGGUGCUCCAAGUCUGGUGUGAAAUCUCCCGGCUUAACUGGGAGGGUGCAUUAGAAACUGGAAUGCUAGAGGAUGGGAGAGGUAAGCGGAAUUCCUGGUGUAGCGGUGAAAUGCGUAGAUAUCAGGAGGAACACCUGUGGUGUAGACAGCUUACUGGACCAUUUCUGACGCUGAGACACGAAGGCGUGGGUAGCAAACAGG
rnacentral:rRNA from 1 species